CCAUCGUCUGAUCACCCGCACUAUUUUUGACGUAAAUUCGUGGCCACGUCAUCGGUCGUGAACUGUUCGCAAGGACGAGGGAUCGGCGCGAACCUUUUUCUCUCGCGGUGAGACAGCCCACUUCACUAUCCAUUUCUAGACUAGUCCACUCUUUUUCUCUUCCAUCCCGACCACACAAAUCGAUUCCGCCCCAACCAGAUCGCCGGCGAAGGUGUGUGCGGCGGCCAGCCCGUGGAUCUCGGCGGCAUGCCGGUAGUUCGAGAAAGCGGAGCCGCUCGAGGAUGCUGGGCACGGAAGGGGGAGGAGCAGAGCCGUCUCCGACGCGGCGUGUCUAAGAGGCGGGCGCAGAGGGGGAUAGCGGCGGCGGUCGCCGGCGAGGGUGUUGCGGCAGCCUGCCCACGGAUCUCGGCGAUGGCGCCAGCUCGAGAAAGUCGCGGCGCUCGAGGAUGCGUGGCGCGGAGGGAGAGAGCAGCAGCGGAUCUGACGCCGCCGCCGUCCGCCGCCGCGGCGCUUCAGCGUCGGCAUGUGGUGGAGGUCAACCAGAAGGUGGACGACGCCCUGCCGCUUGCAGCCGAGCUGCUCGUCGACGUGGACGCCGUCUUCUUUCCUGCGAUGUGCCGAAGGGGAACUGCUCGCCGGGAGUCACCCAUAGCCAGGUAUUCCGUUCACCUUGCGGCGGUGGCUUGGUCAAAACCUUUUCGCGGCUUUGCCACUCUCUCCGGCCGGAUCUUGAUCUUGAUGCACAACCAGGAGGUGAACUAGGAUUUCUGUUUCUUUGCACAGAUUCCACAGCAUCUUGAUCGAUUCACUAGCUAAGCAAAAAGGCUACUCGUUCUUGUCGGCAAGUGCCCAGAAUGGGUAGAUGCAUUUUGAUAUGCAAUUUUUUAGUGUCCAUCCUUAGUUGUCAUUUCCACCCUAGUAUUUGUUCAUGCUAAAAAUAACACAUGGCAAAUUAUAUCAGUACUUAUUUCUAUAGCUAUUUCGGCAUUUUUUGUAUGGUUUAUGAUCGCAAGCGUCCUGUCCAUAUGUUUUUUUUGUAGUUUCAAGUAUACUCAAUAAAUUCUUGAUUAUUAGCACAACAAUAUGUCCCAUGGCAUUUCGCGUACAUUUUUGCCCCCGGGAGAACACACCUUGGAAAGUGCUCAUGCUGACUAGUGCUCAUGUCACAUGGCAAAUUCUUAUUGGAACUAUGCAAUGCUCACAUGGCAAAUGUUUUAAGAUUUCUUUUUAAUAAUGUCACAUGGAAAUGUCAGGAUAAUUUUUUCCAAAAUUAUGGCAACUUCCAUAAAUGUUUCUACUUUUUUGUCGCAUGGCAAAUUUAGACAAUUGUUAUCUUCAUAAAUCAUGGCAACUUUACAAAGAUAACAAUAUAGCUUUUUUCCAUAUCUUUUGCAAAUCAUGAUAAUAGUCACAUUGACUACUUUUUUGUCACAUGGCAACUUUUGCCAUGGCAAUUUUUUCCGUAGCACGACAAAGUUUUUUUUGUAUAAUCACACAAUAAUUGUAUGAUUUUUGUAUCUUCGUGACAUGGCAAUUUUUACGCUGUAGCAUUGAUUUUAUUGCCAUGGCAAAUUUACUUUUAUUGCCAAGAUGAUUGCAAUUAUUAGCAAACAGCCAUGGCAAAUUUAGUUAACGAAUGAUGGCAAAUUUAGUUAACGAAUCAUGGCAAAUUUAUUUUCGUUGAUCAUAGUAAUUUUUAUAAAUUGACCAUGGUAAAUUUAGUUCAUAGAUCAUGGCAAAUUGUAGUUUCUCACUAAUUAACCAUGGAAACUAGAAUUUUCACUUCAUCAUGGUAAGUUUAGUUAUUAACCAUGGAAAAUUUAGUUUAUAUAUCAUGGAUAAUUUUAGUUCCAUUUUCUUGUCUGUAGACCAUGGCAAAUUUUUGCGACCACAACAAUUUAUAUUUGGACAAUUUCGUACAAACCAUGGCAUUUUUUCUUUGUAGCACGACAACUUUUUUCUAUGAGAAGUGUGCCUCAUACAUCAUUGCAAACUUUGAAACUUGUUUUUGUAUAAACACACAAUAAUUAUAUGUUUUUAUCCGCAUAACAUGAUUGGUUUAGGAACAUGGCAAUUUUUACUUUGUAGUAUGAGAAAUUCAUUUAUAUUGCCAUGGCAAAUUUACUUUUAUUGCCAAUAUGAUGGUAAUUAUUAGCAAACAACCAUGGCAAAUUUAGUUAACGAAUGAUAGCGAAUUUAGUUAAUGAAUCAUGGCAAAUUUUAUUCAUGAUCAUGGUAAUAAUUGACCAUGGCAAAUUUAGUACAUAGAUCAUGGCAAAUUUUAGUUUCUCAUUCAUUACCCAUGGCAAAUUUAUUUCAUUGAUCAUGGCAAUUUUCAGUUUGAUGUAUUGCCAUGGCAAAUUUUAUUUUUUAAUUGCCAAGACGAUGGGAAAUUUUAGUAAAUGACCAUGGCAAUUUAAGUUUGCGAUUCAUGGCAAAUUUCAUUAGCUAUGCAUGGAAAAAAAUCAUUAAUCAUUGUAAAUUUAGUAAUUGGCCAUGACAAUUUUGAAUUUAUAGAUCAUGGCAAAAUUUUAGGUCCAUGUCUCAUGGCAGUGCCAAAAUUAUUUACUAGUGAUAAUGUUUCACUUUUUUCAACACAUGUUAAUGCAAGGGGUAAUAUGCAUCACGGAAAAUUUCAAACAAACGGAAAAUUUACACCACUUUUUGGCCACCAUUUGGCAAACUUAUAGAUUUACUUCUGGUAUCAAUGCGUGUUUUUAUGACCAUGGCAAUUUUUCUUUCUUUUUGCAUCUUGUCAAAAUUAUUUUCUUAUGCGACUAUGGCAAAUUUAGUUUUAUGGUCACGGCAAUUUUUUCUAUGCAUCAUGGCAUUUUUUGGUGUGCAAACCAUGGCAAUUUUCUUGCGCCCAUGACAGUUUAUAUUUGAACAAAUUUCAAAAUUUCAUACAAACCAUGGCAAUUUAUUUCCUGUUGCACGACAACUUUUUCGAUUUUUGUACAUCAUGGAAGUUUUUGCUCGUUGCCAUCCAUCAUGGCGUUUUUCAUUUUAUGUAGGUACUGUGUAGUAGCUUCAACAAUUAUAAAAAUUGAUGGCAAUUUCUAGAUUUUUGUGGCAUUUUAUUGUACAGUUUUUUCUUAGUUUUUUCCGUUGGGUUUUCUUCACUGUUUUCGUGUUUUUUCUGCAUUUUUUUUUUGCAAAGGGAAUAGUUUGGGCCAGCAGGCCUAACAAAAGGCCCAGCUAACGAGGGAUUAGGUGGAUGGUUCGGGCUGUUGGAACAUGGCAACGAACUGUUCGCUGAUACUUCCCUGCCGAACCGAACGACUCGUUCGGAUCGAUCACCUCACAGCCCGAACAUUCGGGUGUUAUCGGGGUCCUAUAAAAAGGCCCGUGCUAGGCGCCGGCAGAAAUUCGCCGCGCGGAUCGUUGGUUUACAGCCUGUCCCGCCAUUGGAUUUGCAUAAGUUAUCUUCCUUCUUCGCGCAAUGCCCUUUCUUCCGCAAAACGUGGCCGCACACUCGCAAUUGACCUCUCGUUCGAGCCGCCCCACGCUCACCGCAACAAAACCCGCCCCGCCCUGGAUUCUUGCAACAUCGGCCAAGCUCGUCGGCCUCGGCGUGACGCCACUCCCGCAUCCAUGGUUACCGUUGUAGCCCAUUUCAUCGUUGUCAUCGUCUCAACAGCACGUGGUUGCAGUGACUGUGGUCGCAGCAAGCGCAAUCGGUGGUUGUAGCACCGUCCCCCUGCGGGUCUCCGUCGCACCAUCCGCUCGCCGCCGCGCAGCCUAGCAGCUCUUUGUAGCGUUUGCGGCCGCCCCUCCCUCGUAGUACUUCGCAAAAGCAUUGUUGGUAGUAGUUUCAUCGCUUCCAAUAGUGACGGUCACAGCAUCUCCCAUCUCCGGUCACAACAUCCACCAUAUACGGUUCCGUCAUCUCCGGUCGUGGGGUUCCACCAUCGCUGAUGCUGUUUCCAGCAUUGUUGCCCCGAGGUACCAACAUGGCGGCCUCGGGUCUACCAGCAUCACUGUCCUAUGGCUCCAGCAUUUGUUGAUGCUGGUUCUAGCAUACACCGCUGUCGAGCAUUGUCGACGCCAAGUCUGCAACAUACAUGGCCUAGUUUUUAGAAGACCCCCCCCCCCCCCCCCCCCGCGCCCAUGGGCCUCACCGCCACACCCGAUGACUCCGCAACACGACUGUUCUCUGAAGCACGAGGGAUAGGGAUGCUCGUUGCAGGGCACUCGUCAUAGUACCAUGGUGGAUAGCCAUAGAAGGAAGGAGGGAUCGGAGAGUUGCUUGUCGGGGAUGACGGGGACAAAGGUUGGGCCCAACCAUGGCAACAAAUCGACGGUGGUGGAGAUGCGGUACCAGGGAGGAGGGGAUGGGGAGAGGAAGAAAACACGAAGAGAUAAGGGGUGGGACCCGCAAGCAAGCAAGGCGACUGGCCGAACGCUCGACCGAUCGUCUGUAUACAAUCAUUUACAGAUUGAAAAACAACAGGACUCCGGUGCAUAUUUUUGUAGAAUUUUUAAAUAAAUGUUACAAAAUUAAAUUAUCUCUACUACUUAAAAAGAAUGUAAAGUUCCCUUUUCACCUUUCUUUUCACCACCUCUUCGUCCAACCUCAAACAAUCACCUUCAUUUACUUAUCUUUUGAACCAAUUUCACUUUAAUUUAUUUACCAAACUUCAGAUCAAAAAAUAAGGUAAAUCAUGGGCGGAAUUUGAUGAACAUUUAUUUACAGAACCAUAUAUUAUGGGCUGGUAAAUCAUAAGGUAGUGUACUAGAAUAUUUAUAUUCCGUUGUAACGCACGGGCAUUGUUUUAGUAGAAAAUAAAAUAUAAAGAGACAAGUUAUAUGAAAGCAACACCCAAUCUUCAAAAUUGGCGUAGGUUUGCCUUGCCGCCCUACGAGUUAGCCAUUGCAUCUCCUUUUUGAACUUUUUUCUGCACCUAUAAAGAUUAGGAGCAACGCCAUAAAAAAUAAAAUCAUUCCUUGUGAUCCAAAUUGCCCAAGCCGCGAGAAUGAUGAUUUCCAGCAAGAAAUAGAAAUUCGUAGGGGCACAUGCGCAUCCAUCUACAAUCAUUGAUCUGUUCCAUAAUCCGAAAAGUUGUUUGGACUGAGUAAAAAAGAGAUGGAAACUCUGGACCAUGUCAAUACGAGAAAAUAUGAAUUUUAGCUUGUACUAAUACUUUAUCCAACCGUUCUUCUACGUCCCGGUUCUGUAUGUAGGCCCCAUUUUAUUGUUCUGUACAAUUAUUUCUUUAUUCUUAAACCGGUUUCUCUUUUUUAAUCUUAUCCCAUUCAUUGUUAUUGUUCACCAUUUUCUUUCUCGGUGCAUCUGUUUCGGUAUCACCUUUCCUUACUGUUUUCUUUCGCGUCAUCUGUGUUCUUUAUUCCAAUCAUUUUAUCUUGUUGUUUCUCAAUUCGUCUUACUUCUGUUAAAUUAUCUUUCUCUUCCCGUUUUCAAUUCAUUAGUUCCUUCCUGACCCGUCUCAUAGCAAGUUCAUGUCAUCCUUCUUCACAGCACAAAUUUAUACACCCUUUAUGCAAUGCAAUUAUAUUCGUACGUGACAUUAUGCCAUCUUGGACAUACUACUCCUUUCAUUAAGAUUUUCUCAUUACAAAUAACAUAAAAAAAUUCAUUAUUUUUCAAGUGCAAUGAUUCUUGUGUCAUUUUAUUUUAUAGUUACUCGUAACCUUGUAGAUCUUGUUCUGUCAAGUUAUGUUCUACGAAACUUGCCUUCUGUUUUUGUUCAAUGAACUUACAUUUGUCUUUUAAGUCAUGUUCGUUCAAACUUGCCUUCUGUACAUACCAAGUUUUGCUAUCUGAAAGUUAUCACCACAGUAUCGCCUUCGUGUUUCGUAGUUUGGUACUUCAAUUUAUAUUUCUCUUUUUUCUGGCCGCACCCGGCACAUCGUUGCUCCUAAUUACGAGACAUUUAUUUCUGUGGUGUCAAGUCCACUUGCUCCACAUAUGCAUCAACUUCUUCAUCCCUACUCUUUUUCCCUUGUGUUCUUCCUUUUCAGCAUCAUUCUCUAGAUCUAGUCUGUUCUUACUCGUACCGGACAUUGCUGCCGCCGGUCGCUAGAAGUCGACGGCUCCAACCGUCGGCACCUAUGGUAGCUAAAGUUGGUGUUUGUCUGUUGUUGUCUCCACCACUCACCCUUGGCGAGAAGAAGGUGAAAGCAACACAUGAAAUUGAGGUAACUUACCAUGUAUCCUGCUUAAUAUCGUUCAAAUCAAGGUCGAACGCUUACUUUGUAUUGAAACUGUUGGUAAUUCUCUAGUGGGCAACCUGUUAUGACCUUAGAGGCUAGUGGGCAACCUGUUUCUAAAGACUAUAAUUCACCAAUAGAGCAACAUACCAUAUGUAAAAACAAUCACGUAAUAUUUCUCUGUAAGAGGACAUCUUUAUUUCACUUCAUUUUUCUCAGGUCAUUCCCUACUUUGUAAGGAACGAUUUCUUAGACAAGGCCGACAUUACAAGAUUUGGCAUAACUGAAGUUACAACUUUGCUUUAAACAAAAGAAGACUUUACUUUUGGCGUAAUGCUCAGGAAUGAACAACAACGAACCUCCUUCAUUGGGAGCAAUUGGGCCUAAUAUAUCAAAUUUUUGACAAGAAAAUGCACCUCACUUUAGCUCGCAAGCAUGAUAGUUCCAUCUCUGUCCAAAUACCUAAUGACCCCCAUGAUGAAAAGAAUUAAAAAUAGACUGCUGAGCUGCUCCACCUUGCUAUCCACUGAAGACAAGAUUACUCUGAUCAAAUCAGUUUUCUCCAGCAUGCAUGCUUAUUUCAUGUACUCCUUGGUGCUACCCAAGGCUAUGGUGAAUCAGAUUUGUGUCUACCCGAAGAAUUGUUUUAGGAGGAAAUAUGGUACCCAAGAAACAGGUUCAGCCCUAGUAGCAUGGGACACAGUCAGCAAACCUAAAUCCCAUGGAGGACUAGGUAUAUUGGAUAUCACUACCCAUAACAAGGCUCUAUUAAUGAAAUUUCUUCAUAAGUUCCUCAAAGUAGACAAUCCAUGGGUCAACAUUAUCUGGGAAACUCACUAUCAAGAUACUCUGCCUGGAGAUAAAAUGGUGGGAUCUUUCUAGUGGAAAGCUUUGCUUAAGCUACUUCCUUUAUACAAGUCAAACUAUAUGUCAAGCUGGCAAAUGGGACACAACUCUUUUUUGGUCGGAUAACUAGUCUGGACAACCACUAGAGGAAAAGUAUCCAGAACUUUUCUCAUUUGACAUCAACAGAGGUCUCUUAGAUUAUCAUUGUGUUCUAUGUUCUGAUGUUUUGGAAGAAACAUUGAUUCACCUGUUCCGGAAUCGUCCUUUUGCUCUUUCAUGCUGGGAUAUCAUCACUCCAGAGAGGACUCGAGGCAUCUCAACAUAUGAUGAAAUACUCCUCAUUGCGAAUCAUUUACCAAAGGACAUUGCUCUUGACAUCAUCAUUAUGAGUUGUUGGAGUAUUUGGUCAGUCAGAAAUGACAAAAUCUUCAGAACAACAACUCCUCAUCUAGGCACAUGGAAAUUAUAUUUGAAAGAAGGUUUAUGGGAUGCACAACUUAGGGCUAAAGAAGGCAAAGCAGAGAAGCUCAGGUCCUGGUCUGAUCAAUUUUUGUAAUAUGAUUAUCUUUAUGAUUCCCAGAACUGGUGUAGGCUGAGACUGUACUAGACUGAUUUGUAUUUUUGUAUUUUGUAACUUUUUUACUUCUUUAUAUAAUGAAAAUACCGUAGAACAAUCGUUCUACAGUCAGGGUUCAAAAAAAAAAAACUUCCCAAUGAUCCCCUCA